rnacentral:rRNA from 1 species
AUACGUAGGGGACGAGCGUUGUCCGGAAUUACUGGGCGUAAAGGGCGCGCAGGCGGAUAUUUAAGUCAGCUGUAAAAGGCAUGAGCUCAACUCAUGUAUGCGGUUGAAACUGGGUAUCUAGAGUGAUGGAGAGGUAGGCGGAAUUCCCUGUGUAGCGGUGACAUGCGUAGAUAUCGGGAAGAACACCAGUGGCGAAGGCGGCUUACUGGCCAGCAACUGACGCUGAGGCGCGAAAGCCAGGGGAGCGAACGGGAUUAGAUACCCCGGUAGUCCUGGCCGUAAACGAUGAAUGCUAGGUGUGGGUGUCGAGAGGCAUCCGUGCCGGAGUUAACGCGAUAAGCAUUCCGCCUGGGGAGUACGAUCGCAAGAUUGAAACUCAAAGGAAUUGACGGGG